GUUCCCCGGCUUUGCCGCGCGGAGGAAGUCCCGGUUACGCAGAGCGCGCUGGGGCAGGGCUGACCUUCCCCUUUCUCUACUUCACUGGCCUCCUCCAGACGUGGUGGUUGCGCCCUUUCGGCCUCGCUUUCCGUUUUUUGGCUUCAUCCCCUAGAUCUGCAAACAGUUCCUCGUGUUUCUUCCGUUAGCCGGGAAACGCGAACUGCAGCGUUUGGGACCCGGGUUUGCGCGUGUGGAAAGCAAAAGGGGUUACUCUGCUGGAGUUCGACAUUGCAAAUAAAGGUCUUUAUCCCCGGCGGUUCUACAAAAUUAGUUCUGCAGGGAUUCUGGUUGAAAGAAGCGUUAAAGUGGGCCUUGUAGGAGUCAGCAAUAAUCCAAUUUUACAUGGGUGCAGGUGGCUGCCUGUGUCUAGCGCUUUCACACAUCUCAUAUCUUCAUCCACGCCGUGGGUAUUUUUUUUCCACGGUGUGUUUCUGUUGCUGCCUCCAGUAUAUUGCUUAAUCAUCCUACCUGGUAAUUAUUUAUGCAUUUUUCUCCUACUCUCGACUCAGCUCCUAGGGAAUAAAAACACAUUAACUUAUCUUUGUGCCCACAGCACCCACCAAGUAUUUCCAUCACGUAAUACUGCCUCUAGAAAGGCAGGAGGAGAAGCAGUCACGCUAAGGAUCUAGGCAAGCCAGAUCUUUUGUCCGGUUUUAGGAGGUGGCCAGCCCUUACUUAUUCCACAAGUGUUUUUCCAGAAACUCAGACUUGAUAUUGCCUCAAGUCCAAGGCAGUGUGCUUCCCCCACUCACAUAUCACUAAUAGUAGCUAACAUUUGUUCAGAUCCCUGUAUGUACUCUGCCACUGUUUUAAAUGUUACACCCGGGUUACCUCAUUUAAUCCUUACAACUGCCCUGUGAGGUAGGUACUAUUAUUAUCUCUACUUUGUAGAUGGGAUUCACCGAGGCACAGACGGUUAAAAAACCUAGCCCAAAUAACACAAAUAAACAGCAGAGCAUGCAGUGCUAGAGUCUGCAUUCUUAACAAUUGCUAUAUUCUCCCUCUCCGUGAAUGUGGGCUGAGAUGCUGAAACAGGCAUGUGCUGUGGGGGAGAAAAAGCUUUGUCCAACCAAGUGCUUUCUAAUGUCCAGAUGACAUAGAGCUAGGAUUUCCUAAUGUCUUUUUUCCCCUAUUUUUCUCUCCAUUUCAGGGUUGAGUUUGUGCAUCGAUUGUGAACACAACAGGCAGCAGGCUAUAAUGGUGGUCCUGGCUGGAGUAGUUUUCACAGACUUCAGUAAUCUGUGGAGAUGAACGGGCAGUUCUCUGUAGUUUUCACAGAUCACUGCCAGUUCGUUUUGAGGCCUUCAGGAGUGAAGACCUGGCUCAUCAUCACUCUUUGUUGUUUUGUUAAAUUUAUUUACACCCUACUUUAUUCCAGAGGAAAGGAUUUAACGUAGUUUACAUAAAUGUGUACAUCAGGGUAAAUUAAAAAUAAGUACAGAGAAAAAUAGGACAAAAGAAAACCGUGAGUGUGAAAGAUAAGAUUAAGCCAGCAGUUUUGUAUGCAAAAUGCAUGGUGUAAGGUCCUAUUGGUUUGCUGGAGGUAGGCCACACAUAUGACUCUCAGUUUUCUAGCAACCAAGAAAAAGAUCAGUUGCAAUCGGAGUAGGUGUUUUGGCUAAGCUGGAACUAGGACUUGAAUAUAGCAGCUUGUAGAGUUAUACCACUUGCCCAAAUCUCUUCCAUGAGCCUCUUUAAGUGUAACAGAAUGCCUGGGAGCACGUAAAUGCUCCUACUUAGAUGCCUACUUAGCCUCUAAUUUUCAUGGGGCCCAUGAAUCCCAUGAAAAAGAACUUUGAACCCUGUCCACAAUUAGAGUUCAGGUAUACGCAGACAUGUUUAAAGACAAGGGACACCCAAAGGAAAGAUUGCACAGAGAGAAAGUGAGCAUCCGAGAGAAAAUCACCACAAGUGAGGCAGAGGGAGGCCGGUCUCAGCAGAGUUUUGGAGGUCGUGAGAAGAAGAGGUAGGAGAUAGGAGAGUGGUUCCGAGUACUUGCCUGCUGAUGUUACCUUCUCCACCCCCACCAGGUUUUCCAGUGCCUGGAGUCUUGGGCAGGAAUGGGCCACUGUAAGAAAGAGCUUUAUCACUAGGGCCUCAGCCAACUUUUCUGUGGGAUAUCCCUCCAAAAUAAUUAAGAGUUCAGAAUGCUUCAGAUUUUGAAGUGAAACUGGUACAUAUAUUAAGUGUUACUUAAUAACCCGAUAGUUUCUAGGGCAGCUCACCAUAAUCCCAAGUAUUAGCCACCACCCUCACCCCCUUCAGAGUAAAAUGUGUUUCCUGAAGGAAGUUGGGAAAAUGAAGAAAAAAAAUACAAAAAUCACCUAUAAUCUUACCAGUCAUAGAUGGCAGUUUUCCUGUCUUAUUUCUGAAUAAUGGUUGUUAAACAUUUGCCAGCACACCAUAAGGCUUAGGGAGGCAUCUGGGUCAUGCAUGUUAAUAUCCUUGGGUAAUUCCAGAAAUCUCUAUGAAGGGAAACUCCUGUUAUUUAUCUAGACUUCCUGAUUGCAAGGGGUUUGGGCAUCAUGAUUUAGGGGUCUUAAUAAAAUUAUUAUUUUAUUUUUACUAAUAGAUAAUGUCUGUGCCUAUCAGAUAAAGGCAAACCAGUGCUCAGAGGAACCCAACCAUCUCUGAAUUGAGACCAGAGAGCUGUCUCUAUGGAUAGUCCUUAGAGAAGGCAUUUCGGAACACAGUAAACAGCAGCCUGGUGACUCCGAUUACAGGGCCAGUUGCCUUUGUUACAAUAAAAGCAAGUCAUCUACACAGAUUUUUCCUACCAGGAAGAGCAUGUGCUGACCAACAGACAUGAAUUUCAGCCUGGUAGUUACAACAUUCACAGUAUACCCACAUCACUAAGCUGGGAGGCACAUUUUGAGACCCAGAAUCCUGACACCUCCAUGCCUUCAAAAGGCUGGAGAAUGGUUCUACUUAUUCAGAAGUGGCCAGCAGAAGAGCUAUAGAGAACAGAGUGAUUCCCAAAUCAGCAAACCCCAUGAGCUUGGAUGAUUCAAACCAAGCUGUCGCCGGGAUCAGCUUCAUUCACUGGCAAGAACCCGCCCAAUAAAUCGCAAGAUAGAACCACUUUAAGUCCUCUCUUUUCUAAAAUAGGAGUGUGUCUCCUACUCAUUUUGUUCAUUUCAAAAGGAUCAAAGACAAGUAAAUUUUUUUAGACUAUGAAUCUGUGGCAAAUGGGUAACUUGAAUAAGAUAAAAUCAUUCUCCAUCAAAGGAAGGUGGAUUGAAGGGGUAACACACUCUCAAACUACCCGCAACAACACCUCCCCCCAACAAAUAAAAUGUAAAUGUGAGAUUUUAAGUAGGUUAAUAACAUAAAACACUCAGAGGAGCCAAGAAGAGACUCUGGCAUCAACAUUAUAGAAGUACUAUGGCUGGCCAGGUGCGGUGGCUCACACCUGUAAUCCUGCACUUUGGGAGGCAGAGGCAGGCAGUUCGUUU
rnacentral:lncRNA from 1 species